rnacentral:tRNA from 1 species
GCCGAGGUUGCCAACGUGGCUCAAGGCGCUGGUCUGAAGAACCAGUUAUGGGGGUUCGAUUCCCUCCCUCGGCACCA